rnacentral:rRNA from 1 species
UACGGAAGGUCCGGGCGUUAUCCGGAUUUAUUGGGUUUAAAGGGAGCGUAGGCCGGGGUUCAAGCGUGCUGUGAAAUGUGGCGGCUCAACCGCCGAGCUGCAGCGCGAACUGUUCCUCUUGAGUGCGCUGAAGGCGGGCGGAAUUCGUGGUGUAGCGGUGAAAUGCUUAGAUAUCACGAAGAACUCCGAUUGCGAAGGCAGCUCGCCGUAGCGUUACUGACGCUGAAGCUCGAAGGCGCGGGUAUCGAAC